rnacentral:rRNA from 1 species
ACCCAAUCCCGAUUCGGGGAGGUAGUGACAAUAAAUAACAAUACAGGGCCAACGGUCUUGUUAUUGGAAUGAGAACAAUUUAAAUAACUUAACGAGGAUCAAUUAGAGGGCAAGUCUGGUGCCAGCAGCCGCGGUAAUUCCAGCUCUAAUAGCGUAUAUUAAAGUUGUUGCAGUUAAAAAGCUCGUAGUCGGAUGUCGGGCUCGGGCAAGCUGUCGGCCUUUGGUCGGACGGCAGGCUCGGGUCUUUCUGCCUGAGGAACCCGGUUGCUUUAACGAGCUGCCGGUGGACGCAGGUCGUUUACUUUGAAAAAAUUAGAGUGUUCAAAGCAGGCUAGCGCUUGAAUACAUUAGCAUGGAAUAAUGGAAUAGGACUUUGGUGCUAUUUUGUUGGUUUAUGGGACCGAAGUAAUGAUUAACAGGGACAGUUGGGGCCGUUUAUAUUUCGUUGUCAGAGGUGAAAUUCUUGGAUUUACGGAAGAUAAACUUCUGCGAAAGCAUUCGGCAAGGAUGUUUUCAUUGAUCAAGAACGAAAGUUAGGGGAUCGAAGACGAUCAGAUACCGUCGUAGUCUUAACCAUAAACUAUGCCGACUAGGGAUCAGUGGAUGUCAAUUUGCGACUCCAUUGGCACCUUGUGAGAAAUCAAAGUUUUUGGGUUCCGGGGGGAGUAUGGUCGCAAGGCUGAAACUUAAAGGAAUUGACGGAAGGGCACCACCAGGAGUGGAGCCUGCGGCUUAAUUUGACUCAACACGGGGAAACUUACCAGGUCCAGACAUAGUAAGGAUUGACAGAUUGAAAGCUCUUUCUUGAU